rnacentral:rRNA from 1 species
UACGUAGGUGGCAAGCGUUGUCCGGAAUUAUUGGGCGUAAAGCGCGCGCAGGCGGUCCUUUAAGUCUGAUGUGAAAGCCCACGGCUCAACCGUGGAGGGUCAUUGGAAACUGGAGGACUUGAGUACAGAAGAGGAAAGCGGAAUUCCACGUGUAGCGGUGAAAUGCGUAGAGAUGUGGAGGAACACCAGUGGCGAAGGCGGCUUACUAAAGUACGAUUGACGCUGAGGCACGAAAGCGUGGGGAUCAAACAGG